AUUUUUUUUGAGAAUUUGAUCUUGGUUCAGAUUGAAUGCUGACGGCGUGGAUGAGGCAUGCAAGUCGAACGAAGUCGCAAGACUUAGUGGCGGAAGGGUUAGUAA
rnacentral:rRNA from 1 species